GGGCCUCUUGCCAUCGGAUGUGCCCAGAUGGGAUUAGCUUGUAGGUGAGGUAACGGCUCACCUAGGCGACGAUCCCUAGCUGGUCUGAGAGGAUGACCAGCCACACUGGAACUGAGACACGGUCCAGACUCCUACGGGAGGCAGCAGUGGGGAAUAUUGCACAAUGGGCGCAAGCCUGAUGCAGCCAUGCCGCGUGUAUGAAGAAGGCCUUCGGGUUGUAAAGUACUUUCAGCGGGGAGGAAGGGAGUGAGGUUAAUAACCU
rnacentral:rRNA from 1 species